GAGGAGUCGUCGGUGGGUCGCGUGUUUCUCGUCUCGCUUUUGGGACGACGCAUGAGUGGCCUUUGGGACGUGAUCCCAGAGCGGGCUCCGUGCUCCUUGCAUCGAACCGCCCUGGUCCGCCCGUUUCAUUAGUCGUGGUUCGCCUCGGUCCUUUCCGGGUCGAUYGCGGCCGCACGUUGGGUUCCUGUGCUCGAUAUCCGAAUGCGGUAGUGGGAUGGGUUUCUCGUCCCCGUCACGGUUCCGUCGAUCCACCUCCUCCGUCUCCUGGGAGUUGGUGGAUGCCAUGGUGCGGGCAUCCGACKUUCUCCAUCGGGAAGGCCGGCCCCCUCUCGGGCGCUUCUCCUCGUGAUGGCGCGUCGGUGCCGCCGGGCACGCUCUCGGGUACGGUGACUUCGUUGGUUAUCGCACCGGUCCUGGAUGGCCGUUGUGAUCUAGACGUGUCGAAGCGCUAACGCUUGUGCUCGCGUGACACUCGUGCUUGCCUCUAAGGGCUCGCGGAGCUUCACCGUUUCGUGGUCUCCUUGGGGUGGGGGGGCAUCGAGGUUUACGGA
rnacentral:misc_RNA from 1 species